rnacentral:rRNA from 1 species
UACGUAGGGUGCGAGCGCUGUCCGGAAUUAUUGGGCGUAAAGAGCUCGUAGGCGGUGUGUCACGUCGGCCGUGAAAACCUGCAGCUUAACUGUGGGCGUGCGGUCGAUACGGGCAUCACUGGAGUUCGGCAGGGGAGACUGGAAUUCCUGGUGUAGCGGUGAAAUGCGCAGAUAUCAGGAGGAACACCGGUGGCGAAGGCGGGUCUCUGGGCCGAUACUGACGCUGAGGAGCGAAAGCGUGGGGAGCAAACAGG